rnacentral:lncRNA from 1 species
UUGCAUGCAGCACAAGCAGCUUCCAGCCUACUGACCCGGUUUCUCACGCUGAGUCUGCAGCCCAGCACCAUGCUCCAGGGUGCCUUGGAGCCUGAUGGCCUCAGCUGGGGCUGGGAUGGGGAGGAUGACUGGGAUGGCGCUGUCCUGACCCUGCUGGCACUGGCUGUGGUGGCUGCCACGGCACUGGCCUUGCACUGGUUUGGCUCUGGGCAGGACCAGGAGGCAGCAGGACCCACAUCCACAACCCCUGGUGCCCAGCCUUCUCAGGCGGGAGGAGCCAGGCCAGUCCUGUCCCUGAAGUCCAAGGUCAGUGGUGACGUCGAGGGACACAGCUCAGGGCAGGGGAAACCAGACCCUCCAGGAUGUGGCCAGGGGAGUCCGGCUGCAGCAGGGACCCAGGAUCAGAAGCUCUGGGGAGGUGGAGGUCUGGCUGCUGCAGCUGUACCUCCACUCAAGACAACUGGCGAGGUGACCACUGGAGGGGCCCUGGGACAGCAGCAAGGUAAUGCCAGUCCAGAAGCCCCCCAAGGUAAAGGAAGGGAGCCUCUCAGGCCAGGUACUGCCCUCCUGGGUAGGAGCAAAGUAGGGGGGACAUCUGGCCCCAUCCUGAUACACUUCACCCCUCGGAGUCCUGGCAGAGAGAUGGAAGGACAGGUGGAGGCAGGAGGCGUCCAAGUCAAGGUGCCAACUCACCAGGGCCUGGUCCACACCACAGAACUGGACACCAGUCCCUGGCAACAAGGUGUAGGGCCACCUGGCUCACUAGAGAGAGGCCCCAGCAGCCGGCGGUGGCAGGUGGGCCGCAGCUCAGGAGAUAGAAAACUCCACUUCCCGAAGCUGGACUCCCUGCGCCUGGGUGCCGUGGUGAGUGUGUGGGAGGCUGUGGAUGCAGCCAGCAGCCUCUCCACAGGCUCUCAGAGGCCCCCUAUCCCCCAGGAGCUGCCUCCAUCACACACCACACAGAGUGGGGCCCUGGCUGAGGGCACAGAGAAGGGGUGCAGGGAGAGCAGCCUCCAACCAGCUCCAGUCCUAGCUCUGGAGAGCAGGGAGGCUGGGCCCCAGGCUCCCAGGGAGUCUCAGGGAUCCCCAGCCUCCAUGGAAGGCUGGCCCUGGGAGAGGAGGGACGUUCUUGUCACCAGG